UAGGGAAUAUUAGUAAUGGGCGCAAGCCUGAACUAGCAACACCGCGUGUGCGAAGAAGGCCUUCGGGUUGUAAAGCACUUUUCGGGAGGAUGAGGAAGGACGGUACUCCCGGAAUAAGUCUCGGCUAACUACGUGCCAGCAGCCGCGGUAAAACGUAGGAGGCAAACGUUAUCCGGAUUUACUGGGCGUAAAGCGCGUGUAGGUGGUUUGGUAAGUAGGGCGUGAAAGCUCCUGGCUCAACUGGGAGAGGUCGUUCUAAACUGCCGAGCUAGAGGAUGGUAGAGGGAGGUGGAAUUCCGUGUGUAGCGGUGGAAUGCGCAGAUAUCCGGGGGAACACCAGUGGCGAAAGCGGCCUCCUGGACCACUCCUGACACUCAGACGCGAAAGCUAGGGUAGCAAACGG
rnacentral:rRNA from 1 species